rnacentral:rRNA from 1 species
UGGUUUGUCGCGUUGUUCGUGAAAUCUCACGGCUUAACUGUGAGCGUGCGGGCGAUACGGGCAGACUUGAGUACUGCAGGGGAGACUGGAAUUCCUGGUGUAGCGGUGGAAUGCGCAGAUAUCAGGAGGAACACCGGUGGCGAAGGCGGGUCUCUGGGCAGUAACUGACGCUGAGGAGCGAAAGCGUGGGGAGCGAACAGGAUUAGAUACCCUGGUAGUCCACGCCGUAAACGGUGGGUACUAGGUGUGGGUUUCCUUCCUUGGGAUCCGUGCCGUAGCUAACGCAUUAAGUACCCCGCCUGGGGGGUACGGCCGCAAGGCUAAAACUCAAAGAAAUUGACGGGGGCCCGCACAAGCGGCGGAGCAUGUGGAUUAAUUCGAUGCAACGCGAAGAACCUUACCUGGGUUUGACAUGCACAGGACGCCGGCAGAGAUGUCGGUUCCCUUGUGGCCUGUGUGCAGGUGGUGCAUGGCUGUCGUCAGCUCGUGUCGUGAGAUGUUGGGUUAAGUCCCGCAACGAGCGCAACCCUUGUCUCAUGUUGCCAGCGGGUAAUGCCGGGGACUCGUGAGAGACUGCCGGGGUCAACUCGGAGGAAGGUGGGGAUGACGUCAAGUCAUCAUGCCCCUUAUGUCCAGGGCUUCACACAUGCUACAAUGGCCGGUACAAAGGGCUGCGAUGCCGCGAGGUUAAGCGAAUCCUUUUAAAGCCGGUCUCAGUUCGGAUCGGGGUCUGCAACUCGACCCCGUGA